AUUGAACGCUGGCGGCAUGCCUUACACAUGCAAGUCGAACGGCAGCACGGGUGCUUGCACCUGGUGGCGAGUGGCGAACGGGUGAGUAAUACAUCGGAACAUGUCCUGUAGUGGGGGAUAGCCCGGCGAAAGCCGGAUUAAUACCGCAUACGAUCUACGGAUGAAAGCGGGGGACCUUCGGGCCUCGCGCUAUGGGGUUGGCCGAUGGCUGAUUAGCUAGUUGGGGGGGUAAAGGCCUCCCAAGGCGACGAUAAGUAGCUGGUCUGAGAGGCCGACCAGCCACACUGGGACUGAGAAACGGCCCAGACUCCUACGGGAGGCAGCAGUGGGGAAUUUUGGACAAUGGGCGAAAGCCUGAUCCAGCAAUGCCGCGUGUGUGAAGAAGGCCUUCGGGUUGUAAAGCACUUUUGUCCGGAAAGAAAUCCUUGGCCCUAAUACGGUCGGGGGAUGACGGUACCGGAAGAAUAAGCACCGGCUAACUACGUG
rnacentral:rRNA from 1 species